rnacentral:rRNA from 1 species
GACGGAGGAUGCAAGUGUUGUCCGGACUUACUGGGCGUAAAGCGCGUGCAGGCGGAUUGGUAUGUGCCGUGUGAAAGCUCUCAGCUUGCCUGGGAGAGGUCGCGGUAGACAGCCGAUCUGGAGGCUCGGAGAGGUCAGUGGAAUUCCCGGUGUAGUGGUGAAAUGCGUAGAUAUCAGGAGGAACACCGAUGGCGAAGGCAGGUCUCUGGGCAUUAACUGACGCUGAGGAGCGAAAAGCAUGGGGAGCGAACAGG